GCCAACGUAGCUUAGUGGUAAAGCAAUGCUUUCGUAAAGCAGAGAUCGUGGGUUCGAUCCCCACCGUUGGCUCCA
rnacentral:tRNA from 1 species